UAUCCACUGUUCCACCUUCCAAAGUUUUAAUACCAAAGUCAAGAUAAUUGGCCAUAUUUAUUACUCUAGCACAAAGCGUCCUACACACGUGCUUACAUUACCAGAUAUGUGCUCACGCUCGCUAGUUCAGUCAGUGCGCUGAGAAUCCUAACGCCAUCUGUUUACUUUCAGGGCUAGUGUGACCUGGUCAGAGACCGAGGGUUCGGAUGUGACUUCUUGGUUAAAACCACGAGAAAUUAAGAGACAUGAGGCAAUACACGAACUGAUUGUGACUGAAGAGUCCCACCUUCGUUCUCUCCGUGUUCUGAACUCUGGAUUCUACCAUAAGUUGAUCAGCGAGGCAUUGCUGUCUCAAUAUGAAGUGACGCUUGUCUUCCCUAACCUUGUGCAGCUCAUUAAUAUCCACAACUCCCUCCUGGAAUCCAUGAAGGAGGUGCUUGAAGGUGGAUUUUAUGUCAAACCAAUAGGUGGAAUCCUACUCUCCCACUUUGACAGAGCUUCUGAUGACAUAGUGAAGGAAACAGUGAAGUUUUGCUGUAACCAGAUCUCUGCGCUGGAACUGAUUAAGAGCAAAAAGCGCAAGGACACCAGGUUCAGGAGAUUCAUGCAGAAUGCAGAGAGUGACCCUGCCUGCAGCCCCCAACUGCUUAAAGACCUGAUUAAGUGUGAGAUGCAGCGUGUUACCC